rnacentral:lncRNA from 1 species
GCUAAUUGCUGCUUUGUACUGUGUUUCACGUAGUUUCAUUUUGCUCCCUCUCCCUUCUUCUUUAAAGCGUAAGCAUCUUCGGUAUAUGGAUAUAACUUCAAUCGGCUCUUUAUUUCAAAGCAUGAGAGUGUGUCAAGCUGGUUUAAAUUGUUACAUCAGCUGUGAAUUUUACACAGUGCCCAGACUGAGAAAAACCGGAGCGGGAGCGUGUGCUAUCAUCACUGGAAGGACAGACAAGUAAAAGUAAUUGCUUCAGGAUGUCUUAUAAGGCAAAUCCGUUGUAUGACAUGUAUUUUUAUACCUUCUAAACGCAAGGGCACCUGUUUAACAAUGUAGGUAUCUCUGCCGGGAGCUACACCUCUCACAAUUAGUUUUACAGUGAUGGAGAAUAGUUUAUAAUGUGUAAUAUUAUAUCUCAGUUGCCUUCACUGCUUUCCCAUAGAACAUUACACAUGGAAAAUGUGAUUCAAUCACUGCAAAAGCACUUAGCACGAACCGCGCACUGAGCAUUGUUCUCCUUAUUAUACAAAUGCAGGUGUUACCUAUUUCUUUCUAAAGACCUUGUCCUGCGAUAGCUGAUUUGGAAUUUUCUAUGCAUGCAGAAGCCAAGACUCCCUCUGUAUUUUUUAGUGGCUUUGGUUACCUCCAGGAAACGAAAAUAUUAACCAAGAUUAACAUGAUUUAAAAGGAGCUUGCAGAAACAAUAACUCUCAUGAGAUGUAGUAUUUUAUGCAUAUCACAAAUAAGAUUUAUCUG